rnacentral:rRNA from 1 species
GGAGUACGGUCGGGUCCCGUUUCCCCGGUCGGGGGCGAGGGUGACAGGUGGUGCAUGGUUGUCGUCAGCUCGUGUCGUGAGAUGUUGGGUUAAGUCCCGCAACGAGCGCAACCCUCGACCUUAGUUGCCAGCAUUCAGUUGGGCACUCUAAGGUGACUGCCGGCUAAAAGUCGGAGGAAGGUGGGGAUGACGUCAAAUCAUCAUGCCCCUUAUGACCUGGGCUACACACGUGCUACAAUGGGCGGUACAAAGGGUCGCGAACCCGCGAGGGGGAGCCAAUCCCAAAAAGCCGCUCUCAGUUCGGAUUGCAGGCUGCAACUCGCCUGCAUGAAGCCGGAAUCGCUAGUAAUCGCGGAUCAGCAUGCCGCGGUGAAUACGUUCCCGGGCCUU